UGUUGUUCCUGCAGCUUGCAGAUAAUUUGUAACAUGAACGUAGAAGAAAUAGCAGGAUAAGAUGUUAAAAGUUAUAAAAAAUUCUGCUUCACCGCAAUAUGCAAGGAAUUGUCUUUAUUUUCAAGUCACAUAGAUGCUCAUUCCAAUUAAAAACUGAAUUCUCAUAGACAAAUAAAUGCCAGAAUCAUGCUGUGCAAAUUUUCUGAAAACAAAUUAGUUAUUUGUAUAGACAAUAUAUCAGACAAACACAUAUAUAAUAGACAAUUUCAUCACAAAUUCAAACUUAAGCUGAGCGGAAUAAGUGUAAUUAGAAAUGUAAGCUAGCAAGCUAGCAAAUUUUCCAGUUUUGAUUCAAAUUACCUGAAGUUUGGUCAUCAAGCCUUUCUUCUCCUCUUCAAGCUCUCUAAU
rnacentral:misc_RNA from 1 species